rnacentral:rRNA from 1 species
GGGGGAGCGGUCGAAGGUGGGACUGGCGAUUGGGACGAAGUCGUAACAAGGUAGCCGUACCGGAAGGUGCGGCUGGAUCACCUCCUU